GAUGAAGAACGUAGCGAAAUGCGAUAAGUAAUGCGAAUUGCAGAAUUCAGUGAAUCAUCGAAUCUUUGAACGCACAUUGCGCCCCCUGGUAUUCCGGGGGGCAUGCCUGUCCGAGCGUCAUUGCUGCCCUCAAGCACGGCUUGUGUGUUGGGCUUCCGUCCCUGGCAACGGGGACGGGCCCAAAAGGCAGUGGCGGCACCAUGUCUGGUCCUCGAGCGUAUGGGGCUUUGUCACCCGCUCCCGUAGGUCCAGCUGGCAGCUAGCCUCGCAACCAAUCUUUUUAACCAGGUUGACCUCGGAUCAGGUAGGGAUACCCGCUGAACUUAAGCAUAUCAAUAAGCGGAGGA
rnacentral:misc_RNA from 1 species